GGGAGUGGAUGGUUGAUCAGAGAACAUACAUUUUGUCAAUGAUGUAUGUCAACUGAUCCACAGUCCCUCCCUAU
rnacentral:pre_miRNA from 1 species